rnacentral:rRNA from 1 species
CCUUCGGGAGGCUGCAGUGGGGAAUAUUGCGCAAUGGGGGCAACCCUGACGCAGCAACGCCGCGUGAUUGAAGAAGGCCUUCGGGUUGUAAAGAUCUUUAAUCAGGGACGAAAAAUGACGGUACCUGAAGAAUAAGCUCCGGCUAACUACGUGCCAGCAGCCGCGGUAAUACGUAGGGAGCAAGCGUUAUCCGGAUUUACUGGGUGUAAAGGGCGUGUAGGCGGGCUUGUAAGUCAGAAGUGAAAUCUGGGGGCUUAACCCCCAAACUGCUUUUGAAACUGCGGGUCUUGAGUGAUGGAGAGGCAGGCGGAAGUCGCAGUGUAGCGGUGAAAUGCGUAGAUAUUGGGAGGAACACCAGUGGCGAAGGCGGCCUGCUGGACAUUAACUGACGCUGAGGCGCGAAAGCGUGGGGAGCAAACAGGAUUAGAUACCCCGGUAGUC